UACGAAGGGGGCUAGCGUUGCUCGGAAUCACUGGGCGUAAAGCGCACGUAGGCGGACUCUUAAGUCAGGGGUGAAAUCCUGGAGCUCAACUCCAGAACUGCCUUUGAUACUGGGAGCCUUGAGUUCGGGAGAGGUGAGUGGAACUGCGAGUGUAGAGGUGAAAUUCGUAGAUAUUCGCAAGAACACCAGUGGCGAAGGCGGCUCACUGGCCCGUAACUGACGCUGAGGCACGAAAGCGUGGGGAGCAAACAGG
rnacentral:rRNA from 1 species